UUUCCCUGGCAAAUUAAGCUUAGCGUUAGUUCAUGCAGGACACGGAAGUCAUACGCCCGCUGAUUGAAUUAUCAUUCCUAUCAGACACACACCAAUCACAGCCAUUCUCACAUUUAGGCUAUCCUUUUACAUAUGACUCCCUCCUCACUGGUCCCUGCUACACUGACGCUGCUUCACUCACUGCUGCUGCUGGCAACGCUUCGCCUCCACCACUCCAGCCUCCACCUUCCUAGUUCAGAGUCCUAACAUGACUCAAAGUUUAAAAUGGUUUUCAUUGUCUUUCUUUU